rnacentral:tRNA from 1 species
CCUACAUGGUCUAGUGGUAAGGAUUCCUGGCUUUCACCCUGGCGGCCUGGGUUCGAUUCCCGGAUGUAGGA